UAUUAAAGUAGUAUUAGUUAAGUUCUUGAAAUUUAAAAAAUUUGGCGGUAUUUUAUUCUAUUCAGAGGAACUUGUUUUUUAAUCGAUAAUCCACGAUGUAUCUUACUUAAUUUUAUAAUUUUAAUAGUUUAUAUAUCGUCGUUUAUAAAAUAUUUUUUAAAAAUAAUAAUUUUUAAUAUUUUAAAUUUUAAAUUAAAUCAGAUCAAGAUGUAGCAUAUAUUUAAGUUUACAAUGAGUUACAUUUAAUUUAUUAAUGGAUAUAAAUUUUAAAUUAUUUAUUGAAAUUGGAUUUGAAAGUAAAUAUAUAUAGAUAGAUAUAUUGAU
rnacentral:rRNA from 1 species